GAAAAAUAUGCAUUUUAAAAUAGCAGUGCUGCCAUUUUAUAAUUAUUGUUUAAUGUCACUUAAUUUCUUGAACGCAGGGGUAAAGCUUUUUUAGUGGUCCAUACUUGAAGGCCAUACAAGGUGGACUGUGAGAAGCAAAGCCACACAAUGUGUAAAGGAGCGAUGGACGCUUGGGUCUAGGAGGGACACAGAAUCACACAGACCUUCCCAUUCCCUCAGUAGCUCUUUUUUCUGGCCAAGCACAGCAGUCUACAGUGAUGGCUGGGGGGGCCUAAGAACGCUCACUGUUUCCAAAUCCCUUAAAUAUUUCACUCCUCUGACAGAGCUGAACACUGACUCCUCUGUUUGCCUUCUUUGUGCUGUGCAUUUGCACCUGUUCCAGCUCUAAGUCCUGAUCUGUUCCUCUGUUCCUUUCUCGCUGCAGCGCCU